AAGGAUCAUUACAGAGUUCAUGCCCGAAAGGGUAGACCUCCCACCCUUGUGUAUUAUUACUUUGUUGCUUUGGCGAGCUGCCUUCGGGCCUUGUAUGCUCGCCAGAGAAUACCAAAACUCUUUUUAUUAAUGUCGUCUGAGUACUAUAUAAUAGUUAAAACUUUCAACAACGGAUCUCUUGGUUCUGGCAUCGAUGAAGAACGCAGCGAAAUGCGAUAAGUAAUGUGAAUUGCAGAAUUCAGUGAAUCAUCGAAUCUUUGAACGCACAUUGCGCCCCUUGGUAUUCCGGGGGGCAUGCCUGUUCGAGCGUCAUUUCAACCCUCAAGCUUAGCUUGGUAUUGAGUCUAUGUCAGUAAUGGCAGGCUCUAAAAUCAGUGGCGGCGCCGCUGGGUCCUGAACGUAGUAAUAUCUCUCGUUACAGGUUCUCGGUGUGCUUCUGCCAAAACCCAAAUUUUUCUAUGGUUGACCUCGGAUCAGGUAGGGAUACCCGCUGAACUUAA
rnacentral:rRNA from 2 species